rnacentral:rRNA from 1 species
UACGAAGGGUGCAAGCGUUACUCGGAAUUACUGGGCGUAAAGGGUGCGUAGGUGGUCGUUUAAGUCCGUUGUGAAAUCCCUGGGCUCAACCUGGGAAUGGCAGUGGAUACUGGACGGCUAGAAUGCGGUAGAGGGUAGUGGAAUUCCCGGUGUAGCAGUGAAAUGCGUAGAGAUCGGGAGGAACACCAGUGGCGAAGGCGGCUACCUGGACCAGCAUUGACACCCAAGCACGAAAGCGUGGGGAGCAAACAGG